CAAAAAUUAAGAAUUUAUUAUGCUGAAUGAAAAAGAAGAGAAAUGGUUAUAGUGGGAAAUAAAUGUCCUAUUGAAAGAGUUGGAAAAUCAUGCCAUCAAAUAGUAAAUAAAUAAUUAUUGAGUGCCUGCUAUAUGUCACAGUGUUGAAAUAGAACAAUAGAUAAAGACAAGAGGUGUAAUAUUCAGAAGAAGGGAAAGUAUUUUCUGAAAGUAUUGUAGGAGUCUUCUGGUGUUCAGUUCAACAUAUAGCUUGGAAACCAUCACUUCUACAGCUGCAUCAAGAAAAAAAAACAUCAGAGCAUUCUAAAAUUCAACAGCUCAUCUUAGGUUCAUCAGAAAAUUGAAGACAAAGCACUGUCAUAAAAACUGGAAAGAUAAUGUCACCUACUGAGAAUCACAGUUUACUAAGGUAGGCAUCCUACCAGUAGAAUCAACCAGCUAGUAGGAAUUCUUAAGAUGUGCUUGACAGAUCACAAAGGCUCAUUGUGGAGUAGCUUAAGAAUUAAAGGCUCAGUGGCCCAUUCUUGGGACAUGCCCCAUAUUUUGGUUAAUUUUUCCCUCCAGGAACUUUACCAGGUUCUCAAGAUAAAGGCAGGGAAAAAAUCCUCAUGAGAUUCUUGAGACAAGCAGGAGCAUGACGACAUUUUGAAUGGUGCAGUAGAUUAUGUUCUCAUUGACAAUAAUCUACUCUCCGAAGAAAACUACUUCAUCAGAUCCUGGCCAGCAUAUGUUUUAUCAGAGACUCAUUGACUUGUGAGAGGAGAAACCUUCAAAUCCACAUCCUUGUAGUCUUCAUGAUUAACUAAAAAUGAGAAAUAAGACAAAAACGAUUAAAAAUGACAAGCAUAUUCAAAAGUCAUAACUCAGGGGCAGCAAGCUCACAAAAAUGCUGAGACUUAACCAUAGAGUUAUAGAACAUGGUUUCUCUAUACAUGCCUUACCACCACACCAGGUUUGGCAGAGAAAAGCUGGCAAGAUUCAACAAGCUAUCUUAUUUGAAGAUAUGCAGAGCUGAGAGAUUUGUAAGACUUCUUGUUCUUUUUUCAUCUCCCUUACAAUUUGUUACUGACUUUAGUUAUUUCUAAAUCCAUCAUAUUUAUCAAGAUUCUCUUCAUAUUUGUCAAG
rnacentral:lncRNA from 1 species